CAAAUAAAGACGAGGCUGGGGACAGUGGACACAAAAGCUUACGGAAUAAUAAUGGAGGACUGCAGAUACAUAUCCCAUGUCAACAUUAAUUAGGGUCCGGUAUUAUUCGCAUCUAAUGCCGGGCAAUAUUGUCCAGGGUCCAGAUAAACAUAUGACUCCAAAACAGGUCAGUUCGGGGACAGAGCAAUUAAGAUGUUUAGCGUUCGGAAUAUUUUUCGUAAAUGGAGGAAGGAGACAAAGGGUUUUGUUGUGCCCAUCAACUAGGAGGAAUUUGUUUUGACAGGCUUUACUUUUUUUGUCUCCAUCCCAUUCUUCCACAGCCAUUCAUAAUUUAAGCCGAUUUAAAAAGUGGCGCCAGUUAAGUCGACCGUGGGCGUUCAGACGACACAGGAGUGGGCGUGGCCCUGGCUUGCAUCACGGCUCACAAACACAAUAGAGAAAAGAUAAGGCGCUUUAGAUGCGACAGCUUUUUUGCCCAACUGGACAGAUGAAGAUAUGUCUACACACGAAGAAAAGACAUAUUCCAAUUACAUUCAUG
rnacentral:sRNA from 1 species